CCUGGAGCUUGCUCUGGGGGAUUAGUGGCGAACGGGUGAGUAACACGUGAGUAACCUGCCCUUGACUCUGGGAUAACCUCCGGAAACGGAAGCUAAUACCGGAUAUGACGUACGGAGGCAUCUCCUGUGCGUGGAAAGAAUUUCGGUCAAGGAUGGACUCGCGGCCUAUCAGGUAGUUGGUGAGGUAACGGCUCACCAAGCCUACGACGGGUAGCCGGCCUGAGAGGGUGACCGGCCACACUGGGACUGAGACACGGCCCAGACUCCUACGGGAGGCAGCAGUGGGGAAUAUUGCACAAUGGGCGCAAGCCUGAUGCAGCAACGCCGCGUGAGGGACGACGGCCUUCGGGUUGUAAACCUCUUUUAGUAGGGAAGAAGCGAAAGUGACGGUACCUGCAGAAAAAGCACCGGCUAACUACGUGCCAGCAGCCGCGGUAAUACGUAGGGUGCAAGCGUUGUCCGGAAUUAUUGGGCGUAAAGAGCUCGUAGGCGGUUUGUCGCGUCUGCUGUGAAAACCCGAGGCUCAACCUCGGGCCUGCAGUGGGUACGGGCAGACUAGAGUGCGGUAGGGGAGAAUGGAAUUCCUGGUGUAGCGGUGGAAUGCGCAGAUAUCAGGAGGAACACCGAUGGCGAAGGCAGUUCUCUGGGCCGUAACUGACGCUGAGGAGCGAAAGCGUGGGGAGCGAACAGGAUUAGAUACCCUGGUAGUCCACGCCGUAAACGUUGGGCGCUAGAUGUGGGGACCAUUC
rnacentral:rRNA from 1 species